UGCCAGCACACAGUUCAGCUCUCAGCAACUGAUGCACAGACAGCUGCUGUUUUCUCCCUUCCCCACCUCCUGCUCCCCUAACCAUUCUCCUUUUUCUUUCAAUUUCUUUCCUACACUGCCUCCAUUCAUCCCCUCUGUACUUUCCCCUUCCUUCCCUCUACUUUGUCAUUCUGAUCUGUACUUUUCCUCAGGCGGAUAAAAAAAGGCAGGUCCUGGUGCAGGGAGAGGGCUUGUGUAAUCUCUGGCUGCACAUGAGCACCGGAGAGUUAUUGCUUCAGCUGGAAAAGCAACACAGCAGAGGACCCGCUAACACUUAAAGGACAAACUUUGGAAUAAGGAGAGGAGUAAGGAACACUUGUUGUGACAGGAAGAGACGAGAGGAACAGUUUGGAGUUUUGGGUGCAGGACAGAGACCAUGCCGGGCUCUGUGCUGCUGCUGCUUCUGUCCCUGUUGGUCCUGUCCACAGGAAGUGAUGCCAGAAGAAUAAGGAAAAGAGGACUCAACCACAAGGACUAUGAGUACCAAAACCACCCCCAGUCCACACAGCACCAGAAGAAUGACCGGUGUCCACCACCACCACAGAUGCUGCCAGAGAGAGCGUGCGAGGUGCCGGGCUGCCGCUCAGACUCCGAGUGUGAGCGCCAUAAACGCUGCUGCUACAAUGGCUGCAUCUACGCUUGCUUGGAGUCAGUCCAGCCACCACCAGUGUUGGAUUGGCUGGUGCAGCCCAAACCUCGGUGGUUGGGGGGAAACGGCUGGCUGUUGGACGGUCCCGAGGAGGUUCUGCAGGCUGAGGCCUGCAGCACAACAGAGGAUGGAGACGAGCCUCUUCACUGUCCCACAGGCUACGAGUGCCACAUCAUCAACCAAGGAAACCCUGCUGCUGGAAUCCCUAACAGAGGACAGUGCAUCAAGCAACGCGCCAACUCUGAUGGACGGGGUCUGAGGCACAAAUACUUCAAGGACUACAAGGACUACUUGGGUAAGUGAGGUACCAGUUCUAACAAUGCAGUCGGCUAUGAAAAACAUCAUCACAAGCACCUGCAGGGAUAAAAUCCACCCUGACCUCAGCUUCAUCGACGACCGUAACACAACCUCAGACAUCAGCACACUCCUCAUCAAUCUGCUCUCAUCACACCUGAACCAGGACCACACCUGACCUUUGUUUUAACUCUUACAGCGGCUACCUCCUCUUCGUAAAAGCCUCUCUUGCAGUUGGUGCCAUCGCAAAAUCCUUCAAAGGACAAUCAAACGUACAGUAAACAGCCAAAGAAAUGAGUGCUCCUUUUAUUUCCCUUCUCUGUCUGGUGUUUGUGAAAGGAUGAUGAUGGUUGAGCAGACGAGAGGUGAGCUGAGUUUGCACCAAAGAUUAUUUUCCAAAUGUCUCAGAAGGAAAAAGGAAACUCGAGCCUUUUUAAGUCAUGUCAUGUUUUCACUUUGCAGCCAUCUCCCGCCCUUCACUGCAUUCUUAUUCUCACACACAAACACACUGGGUAUUUCUAAGGCCAGUCAACAGAGGAAAUCAGAACCAUAUGGCCUCUCACUCAUCUGUCUCUCUUAUUCUCAAAAGGAAACAGUUCGAAUUUCCUGAUCUUUACUCUGGAAGGUUUCAUUGAAAAAUAGGUCAAAUUCCAGCCAAAUUUCUCUGCUUCUUUCAUCAAAUCCAAAUGUAGUUUUAUAAUCUGUAGAAUAACAACUCAUAGACCUGAUUUAAACAUAACUGCCAUAUUAGUGUUUUGAUGUUUUUAAAUAUUUGGAUCAUCAUAUAGGUGCUACUUAAAGGUCACAUAUUGUGCAAACCAUGUUUCUCUAACACUUGUGUCCCAAGUCUGUCUGCAAACCCCCCAGUCAUGAGAAAAGUCCAUCCUCUCUGUCUUUUGCCUGCUCCACUUUUCAGAAAAUGUGUGCUCAAACAGGCCAUUUCGAGAUUUUCCCUUUGUGACAUCACAAAGGGCAGUAACCCGUCCCCCAGGUGGGUGACACUCCCACAGCUAGGUAUUUGUUCUGCCCUCUGAGUCCGCCUUCUUACCAUAAACAAUAGGGCAUGGUGCAUGAAAGCCCAAGCCCUUCCAGAGAGGGGGCGUGGUCAGACACAGCUCAUUUACAUUUAAAGGUACAGACACAGAAACAGCCUGUUCUGAGCAGGGCUGAAAUAGAGGGGUUUAUAGUCAUGAUCAAAUACAGGAUCAGAGUGGAUUUAGAACAAGAAACUUCACACACAUGUUUUGAGAAUCUCUGAGACUUGUUGAAAAGGAGUGUAAUAUGUGACCUUUAAAACUCCUGUGAGGAACUUUCAGUUUGUGAUGAUUUUGGUGCCCCAUGUUGACAAAGCAGUGUAUUUCUCUCUUCACUGAUUUUGUCCUGUAAAUGAGUAGGUAGUCCAAAAAUCUCAUUCUCCUUUCUUUAGCAAUCAAACGUAUUACUUAUUGUGAAUAAUUGCUGUGUAAAAUGUUAAAGAAAGGAUGUUUCUUCAGGAUGCUGAAAAUCUUCUCCUCUUCCCCCUCAAAAAAAAGUACAAAUCGUCAAUCUUCUGGCUGAUGAUUUUGUUUCCUUUUGGUGGUUAUAAAGAGGCUUCAGAAACUAUUUCAGUCUGUUUCAUAAUGCGUUACAAAACUCUUUGCAGGAGCUUUAAAUAUGAUAAAAUAUGUAAUUCAAUUGAGACAGAUUGAGGCAUAUUUGACUUACCUGUGAUAAACCAUAAAAACAGAUAAGCCUACAUGCAAGUGAUACUGAAUUUGAUGAUUUGGGAUUUUUUAUAGAAGUGAAGUAUGGAACAAGUAAUACAACUAAAAUCUACCCAUGCAGUUUAUUAUUUAUCACUGAAUACUUUAUUUUUGACUUCAUAUCAAACAACAAAAAAAGGCUCAUACGCACAAAGCAGAUAUUUAAAAUUGGUCAAAGUUACUCUGUUUUUAUCCUCCAGCUUACUUUGCUUCUGCUGUUCCUCAAGUUGUCUCAGUUCAAAUGGUGCUACGUUUCAUUGCUGCCGAUACUCUCAGAACAAUAAGCUGGUCACAUGAUAAGCUGAAGGUGAGAAACUGUUACCAUUCUCUGUGUGCAGAUAUAAAGUGAUGUCUGAAUGUUGCCUUCUGACUGGUGCUGUAAUCUUGUUAUAAAUAAAAACAUUUUGGAAAUCUUA